CAAUUUUUUGAAAAUGUGUAGUUUUUAAAAACAAAAACAAAAAUGUUUCAUCUAUCAUUUACAUCUCAGAGCAUAACCUGAAUUUUUGUGUCUUUGGCUUUCUGGCUGACAAACACAGGUUCAGCUGACUGCUGGAUCUGAAGUCUGGGAGAAAUUUCCUUGCAGAAAGGUAGUGUGACCUUUGGAGUCUUUUUCUGUCAAUUCAGAGGCUGCUCAGCAUCAUUCUUCAAUUGGGGUCAAGAGGCUAUAGCCUGGAUGACCUGCUGGAGCAAUCCUUCUUGGUGUGCAGGAGAUGUCUGCUAAAAAAACCUCUUUGCUUUUGCUAUUGCUUUCUUUAUGCUUUCUUAUUUCAGACAUAUCUUCUGCAAAGGAGCAGGAAGUUUCAGUCUUGAGAAGGAUUUGAAAGGUAGAGGUUUCUGUAGUCUUAUGUGUUCACUACUCAUGCACAUCAGGGUUUGCUGAGAUGCUAAAAAGAAAGGUAUGGGGCAGGUGGCAGCACUGGAGAAGCCAAAACACCCAGAAGAUGGAAAGCAGCUGUGGCCUGUGAGUAAAGGUGAAAUGGAACAAAUUCAAACCCUGAACCUUACAAAUUUGUUGAGGACUUUUGGUAUUGAAAAACAAAACAAAACAAAACAUUCUGCCACAGCAAGUGCCUGUUGACCUUUGUAGACUUGAAGUGCUUUGUAAGGUGACUUAGUGGUGACCAGAACUGGAAAAUGUUCUUCUACCACACCUGAAUCAAGAAAGCAGCUGUGAUAAGUAUAACAUGUAUAAAAUUUUGGCUGGCUACUAAAGAUGGAACAUGUAAGUAAAAAAUCUAAAAUUGCAGAAAAAGCAAUUUGCAGUUUCUGAAGGUCUGAGCUGGGAUGACAUCGUGGCUCUCCCUGCUUUGCUCGGUGCUGCAUAUUUCUCUUUUGUCCAGAUCUGGCUGAAGAGCAGACAAGACAAAGCCGUCUAUUCAUUCUUUAUAAUGUCUUUUUUCCACUUUUCAUGAUACAGUGAUUUCCUCAGCUAUGCUAAGUGGCCAUCACUUCAAGCACCCGAUUUCUUACAUUUUCCAGCAGAGCUGUGAGCAAGGAAGUAGCAAGGCAAGAGGAAGAAAAGGCAAUGCACAAGGCGUAUCACCAACAGCUCGUUUCAGAAGCUCAGUGAGCAGAAUCUGUUAAUGCAACUGGAAAACUUCUUAGAGGGAAAGAAAUAAUUUUGAUAUGCUUUAACCAGCUGUUGGAAGGGAGUGGACUUGAAAAAUAAAUGGAAAAAAAAUAAAAAUUAAACCUGCA
rnacentral:lncRNA from 1 species